AAAUGCUCCGCAGGGCCAGGCUCCCGGCUUGCACAGCUGGCUGGUCUUCCGCCUGGACAGACGUCAUGAAUGUGGCUCAGACCCAGAGCGCGGCCCCACUCGUUUCGGGGAGGACAGGAGUUGGGUUUAAUUUGGGCAACAUGCAGUGCCGUGUGUGAGCGGAACACGCAUUCCCGUGGGGUUAGAAACGUCCAGCUCCUUAUGGGGGUCAUGGUCAGAAUGGCCUGGACCUUCACUACGGCCAGCCCCUGACCACUGUGAUUCUGCGGGGCUGGGGCUGGGGCUGGGCCUGGGCCUGUGCUGCAGGUGAGUCCUGCCCAGGUGGGGAGUGCUCGGAGGUCAACAGCACUAUUGCCGUGUUAAUCCACCCCCCGAGCCAAUGCUUCCCACACUUCGCUUCAAUCACGCGACAGUCCUGAGCGGAUGGAGUGCACUGGUGUGAUCUCAGCUCAACCUCCGCAUCCCAGGCUCAGCGACAGGGUUUCGCCACGCUGCCCAGACUGGUCUCAAUUCCUGGGCUUAAGUGAUCUGUCUGCCUUGGCCUCCCAUCGUGCUGAGAUGACAGGCGUGAGCCACUGCACCCGGCCCAGGCUGUUUUCAAUUCCCCGUGUUCUGCUACCUUCCAGGUGGGGCGGGCUGGGAGGCCUCUUCUAGAGGGGCCCUCAGGCUGCUCCAAGCCCUGGAAUGCAGCCCUGGUGGCCUCAGAACACCCCAGCAGGCUGGACCCGUGCCUCUGCCCCAGGGUGUAGGGUCCGGGUGGCCUGGGGUCGUCCCCUUGGGAGCUGCAUGGGUGGCCGCUGCUACUCCUACCUGGGAGGACAUCCCGUGGCAGGGGUAGAGGAUCGCCCGGUCGCCGUCCUCCGCUCCCUGGUCCAGACAGUAGGCACUGGCUUUGCUGUUUCUCACCUGCAAGCAGAAGCCCCAGGAGAAAGUCCAGAGUCACCCGAGGGUGCGGCCCCAGGGAGCUUCACGCAGCCAGCUCUGCAGCCAGCACCUAAGGAGGAACCCUGACAGCCCUCUGAGAACAAGCCCGGGCCAGACUGCUGGGGGAUGUGUUGUCAUCGGGCAGCCAACCUCCAGCCUCCAGAACAGGCCCAUCGGAGAUCAGCACAGCCUGGAUCAGGCCAGCAGCACUGCCUGGGUGGCCCCGGCUCGUGAGCAAGUGUAGAUGCUUAUUGCUUUUGUCCACCGCGUCUCCAGGCUGCUGGGUUUGCAGCAGCAGCUGACCCAUCCACCACGGCCACCACGAGAGGUCACACAGGUACCACUUGAAGCUGCGACACUUCAGCCUCUGACGCAGGGCCAGCCUCUCAGACACGUCCCCGAAGUCCACCCCUGGGUUCUGCAAGGCCAGAAGUAGGUGAGAGGAGGGUCUGAGGCAGCUGCUCCUGAUGGGAAGGACCCUGCCAGAGGCCAGCCCCGGCCUGGACAGACGGCCCCUGCUGCAGCCGGCUCGUCCACACCCACCCGGGCCCAGGAACCUCCUGCCUGAGAAGACGGCCCUGCUCACCUGGCCUUACUGCACGGCAUCAGCCUGACCUCUGGAGGGUGGAGACUGAGGUCAGCCAUAUCCAGAGACCAGCCUGGCGUCUCUUCCCUCUGCUGACUUUGACCCGUGUCCUCUGCCGUGAGAACCCACAGCCGAGUGCGGUGUCUGUGUCUUCCUGGGACUGUGGGGCCUGAGAGGCUGUAGGGACCAGCACUCUCUGACGGACAGCCAGCCCUGAGGGAGCACCUGCACCCUGCCCAGGGACCCUCCAGGCUCAGGCCUUGUGGGGAGGGCAGACGACUUGGCCUUCACGGCCUGGGCUUGAAUCCCGUCACCUUCUGGCCUGAGUAGGACAGAAAGGCCGAGGCAGGGAGUGUUCACACACUCUGCUCGAUUCGGGCUGGGACGUGGGUCCUCCCCUGCCUUCAGGCUUGGAGCUCACGCCACCGGCUCUCCUGGGCGCCUGCCAGCCGACGGCCAAUCUCGGUACCCUCAGCCCCCGUAACCGGGACAGAUCCAGAGUCCGGGGCAGGAGGGAGCCGCUCCCUCCUCGCCGAGAUGACCACACAGCACGCAGCUAACGCCAGGCUCCCUGACCCCGG
rnacentral:lncRNA from 1 species